rnacentral:rRNA from 1 species
UACGUAGGGUGCAAGCGUUAAUCGGAAUUACUGGGCGUAAAGGGUGCGUAGGCGGUUUUGUAAGUCAGUGGUGAAAUACUCCAGCUUAACUGGAGGGGUGCCAAUGAUACUGCAGAACUUGAGUACAGAUGAGGUAGGCGGAAUUGACGGUGUAGCGGUGAAAUGCAUAGAUAUCGUCAAGAACACCGAUAGCGAAGGCAGCUUACUGGGCUGUAACUGACGCUGAGGCACGAAAGUGUGGGGAUCAAACAGG